ACAAUGUUUACUGCAUGCAAUCUUGGUUGUCAUGAUGAUGGGUGUCUAUUGCACGGCGCCCUCGCUUGACGAUGAUGUCACGUUUUAUGCGGCUCGGCGGGUGAGUGGUCCCGGGACGAGCUGGCGGGAAUGCACAUCGGGUGACUAUAAAGGUCUUUCAUCUUGGAUUAGUGCCUGAUCAUCUGUCAGAAUAACAGGACACUCUGUUGGAGAGUAAACAAGAACAUUGGAUAAUCACCAUUGGAACAUCAGAAAAUGUUGUGACUUUGAUUUCCCCAGCGGCUGCUCAUCUAGGAAACGGAAUGGCACUGCAGUGGCAGACAGGGUGGCAGUUUAACAAACUAUACAAAUGUUUGUCGUCUACACAAGAAGACAGUCAGCAAUGCUCCAAACAGCAAAUAAUGCAAAGAAAAGACUUGCAAGAUGGAAUUGUCCUUGGGCCCGACCACCAACACCCACACUGAUUUUGUAUAAAUUAAACAUGCACAGUUUAACAAACCAGUCACUUCAGCGACAGGGACUACCACUUGUGGCUGAAAUUAUUGAUUUGUUUGGGUCCCUACAAAACAAGCUGCCAAUGGGUAGUGGAUAUUGCUGGUAAUGAUCUCUACAUGCACAAAUCGACUCUACAUAGGCAAGAUGUCAUCAUCUUCAUUAUCAUCCGAUUCCUCAACGACAUCAGUCUGUUCAUCAUCUUCUUCACACACUAUUAAUUUGUCCCAUUUCAUUAGAAUCCACCAUUACAUUUUUGGACGUAAUUGUCCGUAAAAAAGGUCUCCUCAUGGAAUUUGUAAUUAAUUUUUAGCAUCUUUUCUACAUUUUGGGGAAGUAACCUCGUACGCCGAUCGCUGACAAAGUUCCCAGCUGCACUGAAAAUGCUAUCUGAGUACACAGUGGAGGGGGGCAACUUCAGUAAAGCAUUUAUUUUUUCAAAUUAUAUUUUUAUCUUUUAUUUUUUUACACUGGGGCAAAGCCCCUGGAUGGAUGGAAAGAGCACCCCUAGAUGGACAGAGCACCCAUGGAGGACACAGCAGCACCUUGAUGGACCUUAAGAGCACCCCUAGAGUGACAGAGCACCCCUGUACGGAAACAGCAGCCAAUUGAUAGACAACACAGCACCCCUUUAUAUACAACAAAGCACCCCUGGGGACAGACCACUUACAGUUGGGGUACCAUCUAUAGUGUCACAAUACAUGUAUGAUACACUGCGGUCUGACCAGCAGUGUCACAGAAAAAUUAUAGAAUAGUACACUGGGGUAUAGCACAAAUGUAAAUACAUUUUUAGCUUUUAUUUUUUUGCUCUGGUGCAGAGCACCCCUAGAUUGACAGAGCACCCCUGGAUGGACACAGCAGUCCCUUGAUGGACAAGACAGCACCUCUUUAUGUACAACAAAGCACCAGUGGGGACGGACCACCCACAGUUGGGGUACUACAUACAGUGUCACAGUACAUGUAUGAUUAAACUGCGGUCUGACCAGCAGUGUCACAGAAAAAUAAUAGUAUAGCACAAAAAAUAUACAGUAUGUAUAUAUGCAGAGGGUUUUAGAUCAAAGGGUCAACAGUCAGAAGGUCAACAAUGUAUAUGUCGACACCAAAUGGUCGACAUGGUCAAAGAUUGUCAGGGUUGACAGAUCAACACGAAAAUGGUCGACACAUGAAAAGUUCAACAUGAGUUUUUAAUUGGUUUUUGGUGUCAAAAUUUCCCUUCCAGCAAGUGACCCCCAAUUAGUGCACUACAUCCCCCCCUAUUAGUUUGCUCAUCAUGCUUCAGGCAAGGUUACUAUUUGCAAUUGUAGUCCACGUGGAUGCUAAAGUAUGACAAUUUUCUAAAAAAAAAGUAAAAUCCCAAAACUCAUGUCGACGAUAUGGUGUGCCGACCAUUGUCAUGUUGACCAUUUGAACCUGUCGAUCUUUUGACCACGUAGAACAUAUGUAUGUUGCCAAUUUGGUGGCAGCCUGUUGCUUGUCGACCUUUUAUCUAUCAUCUGGAUACCGAGGCAGAGGGGCAAUUUAACUCUCCCAGAUGGUGAAAAACAUGUAAACACUAGAUUCCUUGGAGGAUAUUCAGUUAUUUAAAAAGUCAGUUGUGUGUCUGUUUUUUCCUUAUCUAAUAGACAGGAAAAAACAGACAGCCAACCGACUUUUCAAACAAUUGAAUUCCCCCCUUGUGUCUGAAUCCAUCCCAUCCUGAAAACAAAAUAUAAAUUGUGUACAAGUAGUGUAAUAAUGGCAAACCCUCCUGUUUCUAAUGCUGAAGAACACAUUUGGAGCAGAGCUUGCAUGUAGCAGUGUUUCAUACAAAUCAGCAGCCGGUAAGUGUAUACUACAAACAGGUGUAGGAAUGCUGGAACAGCUUCAUAUGCAGGUAUUAAACAGGUCUCUCAGGAGCUAAGUAGAAGACUUCUGUCUCCCAUCAUUUCACACUACAAAGUCUCACAUACUAAAGGACAAGAUGAAACUUGCACAUGCUCAGUAGAGAACUCGGUUGUCAUCUUGGGAUAGGGCAUGAAACCUCCCUUGAGGAAGAGUGGAGUCUGCACAGUAGCGCACUCCUCUUUUAAAAUUAAAUAGGUUUUAAUAAAAUAAUAAAAUAACAUUCCCCCCAUGCAGUGUAUGAAAGAGUCACUCUAUGCCAGUCAUGAACUCAAGAGCCAGAAAAAGAGCCCCAAACCAUCAACCUUUUUCCUGCAUGUUUGAAAGUCGGUGCCACAAUGGUUUAUUUCUUAAGCAGUGGCUUGUAAAAGCUAUCACUUCCUGAAAUGUGUAAACCUUAUAUUUCAAUGCUUUUAAUAGAAACAUACGAGAGGCUACCACUGAGGGAUCAUCC